rnacentral:rRNA from 2 species
GGGUUGUGAGGUUAAGCGACUAAGCGUACACGGUGGAUGCCCUGGCAGUCAGAGGCGAUGAAGGGCGUGCUAAUCUGCGAUAAGCGCCGGUAAGGUGAUAUGAACCGUUAUAACCGGCGAUACCCGAAUGGGGAAACCCAGUGUGACUCGUCACACUAUCAUUAACUGAAUCCAUAGGUUAAUGAGGCGAACCGGGGGAACUGAAACAUCUAAGUACCCCGAGGAAAAGAAAUCAACCGAGAUUCCCCCAGUAGCGGCGAGCGAACGGGGAGGAGCCCAGAGCCUGAAUCAGCAUGUGUGUUAGUGGAAGCGUCUGGAAAGGCGCGCGAUACAGGGUGA